rnacentral:misc_RNA from 1 species
UUUCCGUAGGUGAACCUGCGGAAGGAUCAUUAUUGUAUAACCGAUGUACGAGUGCUGUCCCUUACCCGAAAGUUCUUGCACGCCCGAGUGCCCUCACACACAUCCAUCUUACCCCUAUGUGCCCCACCGCGAGAUUCCCCCCUUGGCUUGUUCGCAGGCGCGCUUAUGUUUUCACACAAACUUUUUAUACAGUGUAUAAUCUAUUUUUUAUUUUUGCGAUCCCGCAAUCAAUGCAACUUUUAACAACGGAUCCCUUUGCUCCUGCAGCGAAGAAGACCC